AAGAGGAGUGGCGAACGGGUGAGUAACACGUGGGUAACCUGCCCAUCAGAAGGGGAUAACACUUGGAAACAGGUGCUAAUACCGUAUAACAAUCGAAACCGCAUGGUUUUGAUUUGAAAGGCGCUUUCGGGUGUCGCUGAUGGAUGGACCCGCGGUGCAUUAGCUAGUUGGUGAGGUAACGGCUCACCAAGGCGACGAUGCAUAGCCGACCUGAGAGGGUGAUCGGCCACAUUGGGACUGAGACACGGCCCAAACUCCUACGGGAGGCAGCAGUAGGGAAUCUUCGGCAAUGGACGAAAGUCUGACCGAGCAACGCCGCGUGAGUGAAGAAGGUUUUCGGAUCGUAAAACUCUGUUGUUAGAGAAGAACAAGGAUGAGAGUAACUGUUCAUCCCUUGACGGUAUCUAACCAGAAAGCCACGGCUAACUACGUGCCAGCAGCCGCGGUAAUACGUAGGUGGCAAGCGUUGUCCGGAUUUAUUGGGCGUAAAGCGAGCGCAGGCGGUUUCUUAAGUCUGAUGUGAAAGCCCCCGGCUCAACCGGGGAGGGUCAUUGGAAACUGGGAGACUUGAGUGCAGAAGAGGAGAGUGGAAUUCCAUGUGUAGCGGUGAAAUGCGUAGAUAUAUGGAGGAACACCAGUGGCGAAGGCGGCUCUCUGGUCUGUAACUGACGCUGAGGCUCGAAAGCGUGGGGAGCAAACAGGAUUAGAUACCCUGGUAGUCCACGCCGUAAACGAUGAGUGCUAAGUGUUGGAGGGUUUCCGCCCUUCAGUGCUGCAGCUAACGCAUUAAGCACUCCGCCUGGGGAGUACGACCGCAAGGUUGAAACUCAAAGGAAUUGACGGGGGCCCGCACAAGCGGUGGAGCAUGUGGUUUAAUUCGAAGCAACGCGAAGAACCUUACCAGGUCUUGACAUCCUUUGACCACUCUAGAGAUAGAGCUUCCCCUUCGGGGGCAAAGUGACAGGUGGUGCAUGGUUGUCGUCAGCUCGUGUCGUGAGAUGUUGGGUUAAGUCCCGCAACGAGCGCAACCCUUAUUGUUAGUUGCCAUCAUUUAGUUGGGCACUCUAGCAAGACUGCCGGUGACAAACCGGAGGAAGGUGGGGAUGACGUCAAAUCAUCAUGCCCCUUAUGACCUGGGCUACACACGUGC
rnacentral:rRNA from 1 species